rnacentral:rRNA from 1 species
UACGUAGGUGGCAAGCGUUGUCCGGAUUUAUUGGGCGUAAAGGGAGCGCAGGCGGUUGAUUAAGUCUGGUGUGAAAGCCCUCAGCUUAACUGAGGAAUUGCAUUGGAAACUGGUCAACUUGAGUGCAGAAGAGGAGAGUGGAACUCCAUGUGUAGCGGUGAAAUGCGUAGAUAUAUGGAAGAACACCAGUGGCGAAGGCGGCUCUCUGGUCUGUAACUGACGCUGAGGCUCGAAAGCAUGGGUAGCGAACAGG